GGUUAUCUCUGCUCCUCUCCACAAAAAGCCACUUCCCUGAGCCAUUUGGCAGGAGGCUUUUUGUUCCAAAGAUGCCCUUAAGGAUUAUCCCAAUGCCCCGAGCAGUGACAGCAUGGAGUUUUAACCACUGGAACAUCAGGUUAAGCACCAAGGACCAGUUGCUGAGGACAAAGCGAAUGCAAUGAUCUGCAACAACGCAAGGAAAGUUCUCUGGGCAAUGACCGCACAGAUUUGGGUAACUAGCAAUCGUCGUCAGUGUUUCAACCUGACCUGACCCACUUAGCAAGCCGGUCCCUGGCUAAGACCUACAGCAGAGUUUCAAGUCAGUCAUUGGUGCAGACUCACACCCAAACCAGAAAUUCCUGCUGAAGACCAGAACCACAAAUGUUGUUGCUGCUGCUCCACACCCAACCUGGGGGUUGUGAACCUUGACUCACUAAGCCACGGGCUUCCAAACUUCUGGGGUGAAUGGCACCCUCAGUACCUCCCACCCUUACCACCAGGGG
ensembl:lncRNA